UCUCUCCCGCAGCCCGCUCGCUGCUCUGCCGCUCGGCCGGCGCCCCCACCCCGCCCCGCUUGCUGUAUUUAAAUAGGCAACUGGAUCCACACGGACACAAUAAUUUAGCUUGUCUACGGCAUUUUCUACAGGACCCCAAGAGAUGGACCUUCCACUCCCCCUUUUCUCUCUAGAACUGGCAUCUUUCAUCUCUGUCUAUACGGGCCCAAUUAUACAGAUCCUUGGGGUUCCAAUAGGAUCUGAAGCAUUGGAACCAAGAACACCUGGCCAUAAUUAGAAAGGAUUUUCUUUUUCGUUACCUUGUCUUUCUUUUCCUUUUUUCCCUCUUUCCCUUAAAAAUUCUAUUGUUUUAAUUUCAGGUAUUUAUCUGUUUUUAAGAGGGCUAGGAUUAACCACGGUGAGGGCGGGGUAGGUGGGGUGGGGGGAAAGCCCAGCCUUCAGCCCCUUGCAGAGAUCGCCAGGCUUCCGAGCCUGCCCCGCCUCGCUUCCUUUCCUUGGCCUUCGGCCUCCUCCUCAGAUCGUUUUUUUUUUUUUUUUUUCCUCCCCCCACCGUCUUCUCUCCGGUUUAAUUAAAGUUUAGCGACUCCACUUGCCUUUUUUCUCCUCUCUCUCCGAAAGCGGAAACCAGACAGACCAGCGGCCAUGGGCCAAGCAGCCCCGUGGCCCCAGCACAAUCUGGGCCCGCCACCGUCAGGGCCUCCCCCUCGCCCGCCACCCUCCGCCGCCGCCGCCGCCGAUGGCCUCCUGAACUGGUGCGCAGCCCCUCCACCAUCCCGCAGGUGUGCAGCCGCCGGCCUGAGGGAUCUGAAUGACCGGGGCUGGGGUAGGGGUGUCCUGCCUUCCCCUAAACCCACCCCUAGACUUGCUCCAGAAAGUUUGGAGGGUGGGUACACCCCGACUGAGGUAAUCAGCUCCCCCAAACCCAUGGCUGACUAAUAUGAUAUGACAAAAGCUAGUGAUGGAUUUGGUAUAUGUUAAUUCACAAUGCCCUUUCCUCCAGAAUUUAACUAUAAGUUAAUACACACCGGAAACCACGCGCAUACACGCUCGUUAAUGGGCUUAGGUAUUAGCGAGUCCUAACGAUGCAUACAAAUGUGCUCUGCGCUCUGUAGGCCCCUCAAGAUUUAUGGGCCUUGAGCUCUCUGAAGCUGUAAACAAGGAGAAAAAAAGAGAAAGAGAGAGAGAGACUGGGGGAAAGAGACAGAGGCCUGACUCACCCCUCCAGGUUGUGGGAGAGAAGGGAUCUCUGCAAGUGGGUUCUUAUGUAUUUUGCUUUCCUUACAAGCUCGGUGUCUGUGGGUUUCGGCAUGGGGCUGGGGCUGGGGCUCGGGUGGUGGUUGCCCUGAAUGCUGCUGGGAUGUGUGGGCAGUGUGGUGUUUGUGUGCUGGGGUAGGAGGACUCCUGCCUCCCAGGCCGGGGCCUGCGUCUAGCAGAUAUCUGUGGGCAUAAUACCUGUGAGUGUGCAGUGUGCUAGGUGUGUGUGUGCACGCAAGUGCAUGUGUGAGAAGCAGGCCUCCCUCUGGGCCUGGCUGCUGUCCCCUGAACCCGGUGAACAAAUCUCUAACAACAGUCAUAAUAACAAUAAAUAAUAAAUAACAAUGAAACAGUAGUUAACAGUCCCUCCCUAGCAGGGUAACAAUAAAAUGCAAGAGGAGAUAUUUUGAGGAGGGGCCAGGGGAAGGAGUCAUGAUCACAGCAUCUGAGGGGAAGACAAGGGAGGGAGGGAGGAAGGAAGGAUGGAAGGAAGGAAGGAAGGAAGGAAGGAAGGAAGGAAGGAAGGAAGGAAGGAAGGAAGGAAGGAAGGAAGUUAGCUUCUUCCUAUGCCCUCGGGGGGCUGGGUUUGGGAACCCCCUCUCCAGACAAGGUCCUCUGGCCAGAGGAGGAGAGGGAGAGCCAGGAGGCCACUCUUUCCUGCUUCUUUUACUCUGGCUUUUGCUUUGUGCGAUCAGGGGAGGGACCCCACAUAUGGGGGUGAUUAGUGGCUUUGGGGUCUCUGGAGCCCCUGUUUUAAAGAGAAGAGCAAGCGGACAGGGUCAGACGAGGGGGCAGAGAUGGAUGAGGCGAUGGCCAGAGCCAGGGGUCCCGGCCAGUCGGGCCGCAGAGGUGCUGGGGGAGGACCUGCCGCCGGGUAUGGACAGAAGCAGAAAAACAUUUAUGGCCGCCUGCAAGGAGAGGGGAGAGCAAGGCCGGUUUCCAGUAGGCCCAGGGAAAGUUCCCUUUCUAGGGGCUUUUCAAACAAACAAACAAACAAAAACAACCACCACAACAGCAACAACAACAAAAAAGGAGAAGAAGAAGGGAGGGGUUGAGGCGCGCUGAAUUUUCCCUCGCGGUCUUGGAGCCUGCGGAUUUCCAUAAAAGACGAGAAGACCACGCUCCCGGAUCCUUCCACAUCUGCCUCGUUUUCUCCAGCCGGUGACCCAUCUGGUCUGAAAGGGACGGAGAACUACACUUGCCACUGAGUCACUUCUUUAAGACCGGUGCACACACAAAGAUUCGCAAGAGAACCCGGGGCGUCCUUGCAUUUGAACACCACGCGAGGCGAAGGAUACUGAUAACCAGUCGGACAAAAUACUAAUAAAAUAAAAUGAAAUCGGGGGAAGCGCUGAGUGCAGGGCGAGCGGGGAGAGGCCGGAUCUUGGGUUCCAGGCGGCCCGGGGCGACGGGGGGCGCCGAGCGGGGGCCGGGCUCCUGCUGGCGACCCUGCUCCGUCUCGGCGUCCCCAGCCCGGGCCCGCGGCCCCCUUCUCUCCAGCCUCCGCGCCCCUCCUGCCCUCUCGGCUCGGAUGCCUGGUCCGGCCUCCCUGGUGCAAGGAUUUGGGACCUAAGAAGGGGCAAAGUGACUCAAGCCAGACUCUCCAUUUUUCUCCCCUAGGCCUCUCCACUUGCCCAGGCGCUCAGCCACCCGGGGACCGACACAACAGGGGCUUCUGGGCCGCCCCCUACCCACUCCUGUAUGGUUUCCCCAAAGUCUAGCGACCUCCAACCCUCCUUGGUGGGGGGGGGGGGGCAAAUAUCAGUGGCCAGUCUCCUCUGCACCCUGUCAUGGGUGACCUCACUUCAGGAAUAUCUUGAAGGAGAAGAAAAAGAAGGCCGGCUUAGAGCCCUGUUUACAUCUAGUUCUACUGAUCUGUUCACAUCUGGAGAGUUUAUUUAUAACCCCCACUAUAACUCUCCCUGUUUGGAGGCACUGAUGUCUAGAAAAUAUUGCUCUAUCUCUAACCAUACCUAAAUGUGCUGUGCUUGUAUUUACAGAUUUAUGCUCGAGGAAAAUAUAAUUAUUUCCAUUGUAUUCGUGCAUAUACAAUAGUUAUAGAAGUAGAUUUAUAUAUGAGAAAAUAUACGACUCUCUUACAGCCAUCCAGUUUUA